rnacentral:rRNA from 1 species
UACAGAGGGGGCAAGCGUUGUUCGGAAUUACUGGGCGUAAAGGGCGCGUAGGCGGCCUUCUAAGUCGAACGUGAAAUCCCCGGGCUCAACCUGGGAACUGCGUCCGAUACUGGAAGGCUUGAAUCCGGGAGAGGGAUGCGGAAUUCCAGGUGUAGCGGUGAAAUGCGUAGAUAUCUGGAGGAAUACCGGUGGCGAAGGCGGCAUCCUGGACCGACAUUGACGCUGAAAACCGAAAGCUAGGGGAGCAAACGGG